UCGGUGGAAGAAAGUUGGGCCGAAGGAGGGGCCGCGGAGAGGGAGGAGGAGGAAGAGAAAAGGGCCGGGCGGCGGCGGUGUAGGUUGUGCGGUGGUAGCGGCUCUCCCCCGGCGGACGAUGGACAGCCAGGGCAGGAAAGUGGUGGUGUGCGACAACGGCACCGGGUUUGUGAAGUGUGGAUAUGCAGGCUCUAACUUUCCAGAACACAUCUUCCCAGCUUUGGUUGGAAGACCUAUUAUCAGAUCAACCACCAAAGUGGGAAACAUUGAAAUCAAGGAUCUUAUGGUUGGUGAUGAGGCAAGUGAGUUACGCUCAAUGUUAGAAGUGAACUACCCUAUGGAAAAUGGCAUAGUACGAAAUUGGGAUGACAUGAAACACCUGUGGGACUAUACAUUUGGACCAGAGAAACUUAACAUAGAUACCAGAAAUUGUAAAAUCUUACUCACAGAACCCCCUAUGAACCCAACCAAAAACAGAGAGAAGAUUGUAGAGGUAAUGUUUGAAACUUACCAGUUUUCGGGUGUGUAUGUAGCCAUCCAGGCAGUUCUGACUUUGUAUGCUCAAGGUUUAUUGACUGGUGUAGUGGUAGACUCUGGAGAUGGUGUAACUCACAUCUGCCCAGUGUAUGAAGGCUUUUCUCUCCCUCACCUUACCAGGAGGCUGGAUAUUGCUGGGAGGGACAUUACCAGAUAUCUUAUCAAGCUGCUUCUGUUGCGAGGAUAUGCCUUCAACCAUUCUGCUGAUUUUGAAACAGUUUUAUGUGGGUUAUAAUAUUGAGCAAGAGCAGAAACUGGCUUUGGAAACCACAGUACUAGUUGAAUCUUAUACACUCCCGGAUGGACGCAUUAUCAAAGUUGGGGGAGAGCGAUUUGAAGCACCAGAAGCUUUAUUUCAGCCUCACUUGAUCAAUGUUGAGGGAGUUGGUGUUGCUGAAUUGCUUUUUAACACGAUCCAAGCGGCUGAUAUUGAUACCAGAUCUGAAUUCUAUAAACACAUUGUGCUUUCUGGAGGGUCUACUAUGUACCCAGGCCUGCCAUCGAGGUUGGAACGAGAACUUAAACAGCUCUACUUAGAACGAGUUUUAAAGGGAGAUGUGGAAAAACUUUCUAAAUUUAAGAUCCGCAUUGAAGACCCCACCCCGCAGAAAGCACAUGGUAUUCCUGGGUGGUGCUGUUCUAGCAGAUAUCAUGAAAGACAAAGACAACUUUUGGAUGACCCGACAAGAGUACCAAGAAAAGGGUGUCCGCGUGCUGGAGAAACUUGGUGUGACUGUUCGAUAGACUCCAAAGCUUAUUCCCGUCAUGCCCCUAACACUUUCUUUUUUCCUUUAUUGCCAAUCUUUGAACUCAUUCAACUCCAAGACAUGGAAGAGGCCUCUCUGUUCCCAUUUACUGGGAAGGUCAAGUUUUAUUCUGGUGUCUUGGGGAAGCUUUGUUAAAUUUUUGUUAAUGUGG